ACCUUCUCUGAGUUUUUUGGCUCUGAUCAAGUGUAGUAUCUGUUCUUUUCAGUUUAACCGCUGAAAGGACCCGAACGGGGUCUUUUUCGUGUGUUUUCACGCAAAUCUUUGGCAACUCGAGAAGAGCAGUCCGCUGGGCCUGUUCCAUGACUGCUCUUCCCACUGUGUCCCUGGUAUUUCACUGCUUCCAGGCGACGCGAACGUUUU
rnacentral:snRNA from 1 species